rnacentral:lncRNA from 1 species
AUUUGGAUGCCAGUUUGAGAGCAUUGGGAGGCUGCAGAGGGUUUCUAAAACAGAGGGAGCUACACGGUCUGUUUGCUUUAUGUUUCCCAGGAACACCAACCUGUUUGAGGAGAGCAGCUGGGAAAGGCCAGGAGAGGAAGCGAAGAACCUAGCCAAGGAGCUGAUUCAGGGAUCCUAAAUGCUGCCGAGGGGUGAGUGGAGAGACGCUGGGCAGGUGGUAGAAGUGUACGGGUUUAAUAUGUCAUCUAGAGAGGCUGGGGCAAUAGCACAAUUGGUGGAGAGCUUUCCUAGCAUGCACAAAUCCCUGGACUCUAUUUCCAGCACCACAUAAAACAGGCAUAGCAGCACAUAUUGUAAACCUGGAAUUUAGGCCUAGACAGAAAAGCAGAGAAGUUCAAAGGCAUUCUCAUCUACAUAGACGUUCAGUGCCAGGCUGGGAUACAUGAGAAUCAAGGAAGAAAGAAAGAAAGAAAGAAAGAAAGAAAGAAAGAAAGAAAGAAAGAAAGAAAGAAAGAAAGAAAGAAAGAAAGAAAGAAAGGGAAGGAAGGAAGGAAGGAAGGAAGGAAGGAAGGAAGGAAGGAAGUUGUUGUUGUUUGGUUUGAUUGGUUUGGUGCCAAUGCUGGUGCUGGUGCAUUGAUGUGGAAUUGAACCCAGAUCAACUUGGAUCUUACAGUGUUAUUAUUGAAAAUUAAAUUCUAAUUUGUAUAUUUUCCUGGAAAACCUAGAUGUAGAGUUACCACAAACAUAGAAUGCUGGUCCAGAAUUUCCAAAAGAAUUGAGUGCAGGGACUCAAAUGGAUGCCUAUGUAUUAGUGUUCACAGAUCAUCAUAAAAAAAAAGAUGUUAACAAGUUAUCUGUCAAUUUAUGAAUAGAUAAAUGAAAUAUAGUAUGCCCAUACAACUGACUCUUAUUCUGUGUUUUUAAAGGUAUGAUGCUGUGAAUAUACUUAACGCCUUAGAAAUAUACAUGUCCUAGAUUAAUUUAUGUCAACUUGACACACGCUAAAGUCAUCUGAGAGGAGGGAACCUCAAUUUAAAAAAAUACUUCCACAAGAUUGAGUCGUAGACAAGCCUGUAAGGCAUUUUCUUAAUUGUGAUUGGUGGGAAGGGCCCAAUGCACUGUGGGUGGUUCUAUCCCUGGGCUGAUGGUCCUGGGUUCUAUAGGAAAGCAGUGAGCAAGCCAUGAUGAACAAGCCAGUAAGCAGCACCCCUCCAUGGCCUCUGCAUCAGCUCCUGCCUCCAGGUUCCUGCUCUGCCUGAGGUCUUGUCCUGACUUCCUUCACUGAUGGACUACGAUAUGGAAGUGUAAGCCAACUCAUGCCUUUCCUCCCCAACUUGUUUUUGGUCUUGGUGUUUUAUCACAGCAAUCGAUAUUCUAAGACAACACACUUUAAAACCAUUAACAUUGUUUGUACAUCGCAGGUGCAAUAGAGUUUAAGCACACACAGGAAAAGAAGAUGUUGACUCCGCAGAUGAAAGCACUCGUCCUGGAAGCCUGGUGGCUCCAGUUCUGUCCCCAGAAUCCAUGCAAAAAGCCCAAUACAGCAGCAUUCAUCUGUAACUCCAGCACUCCUGUGUUUCGAUAGGAGGUAGAGACAGGAGAGUCGGUAGGAAACUCGAAGAGCUAGCCUGGAGUAUACAACAUGAUGACAGAAACAGCCAAAGGGACCCUGCCUCAGGAAAAAAAAAAAGGCAGAAGAGAAUCCACUCUGAAAAACCUGUCAUCUGGCCUCCAUGUGUGGUGUGCAUCAUCUCUUACACACAUGCGCAUAUGCACACACACACACACUCUCACUCACACACACUCACAUGCACCUGCACACACUUAAAUCCUUUGUUUAAAAAAUAGUUAAAACGAUAAAACUUAUGCAUAUUUUCCCACAACAACGGUCUGUGAACACAGAGCAAGGAAUGCAUAUUUGAGCUCAGUGCAUGCGGCCAUUGUCUUCCUAUGUGUGCUCAGCGGAAUCCUUGUUGCAGAGGCAUCUCUCUUCCUUAUUCCAGAAGGCUGAGAACUUGCCGUUUACGAGCUUGUCAGUUCUGAGAAAAAGCCCUGCACCUUCUGCACUUGAAAGCCAGACUGACGGCCCAGGUUGCCAUGGAGACCAUGGAGGCCACCGGAACUGUUGGCUAGUGGACUCUGUCAUUUUUUAAAUAACUGGUAGGUUUUUGUUUAUUUCUCAGACUUCUGAUUACAUUGACAGCUUAGGUGACAGCUAGAAAAAAGUUUUCACAGAUGUAAUCUGUCACUUCCUUACCAUUAAUUAAACACUUCAUAUUUCCUCUUCUUGCUAUGCCACUAUUCUAAUAUUAUCUGAGUGCCUAUAAAUUUGCCUAACCCUAAUGAAACAUUCUAUUAUACGAUCCAACUUUUUAAUCGCAAAUUCUUGUUCCUUCUGCUCCACAAACGGUUCAUAUUAAAGACUGUUCAUGUUCUUAACUCUUGUUGUUAUCUCUUUUGUAAAGUUAUAAGCUACAGGAAACCCACUCAGAUCUACCUCUCAUGGACCAAAUAGACUCCAUCCAGAUAAAUAUAUCUGCCUAAAGCUCCCAUUUGUUACCUAUCCCAGAGGGUGGGCUUCCUCUGGGUUUCAAAUGUACGUCUUAAAUUUUUUUUCUUUCUCCCAAAUGUACUUAAUCUUAUUCUCUACCUAUAAUAAUGUGUUUCAAUAGCUUGUCAAGUCCGGGCGCUAACUACAUCUAGGACAGCUCCAGAGAAGCAACCUCCAGAUGCUCCAAUCUCCUGUCACAAACACAGACACUUCUACUGGACCUGUUCCUUCUGACCUAUCCUCAGACGGUUCCACAGAGCCUGGACAGCAAGGAAACAGCCAACUCUCCUAAGACUGGACAAACAUCCCCCAUACCCAUUCUUCUAGGUUCCCUAGAGACACAUCACCCCAACGACAGCACGAAGCAGCCGGAUAUCACAACAACCCUAUUCCUGCUUUGCCAUCACCUCUUUCUAAUUUUUUUUCUUUUUUAAUUAAACCAAAACAGGGGAAUGUUAGCAUUCUGUCUAAACUCCACCACACAGUUGCCUGGCAACAGCCAGGUAUGCUCCACUGCACAGUUACCUGGCAAGAGCCAGGUAGGCCUGACCCACUAUAAAAGGGGCUGCUUGCCCCCUCCUCUCUCUCUUGUUCUCUUGUUUCUCUCUUGUCCUCUUGGGCUCUUCCCUUCCCUUCCCACUCCCUUUCCUAUUCCCUUCUCCCUGUCUCCAUGUGUUCAUGGCCAACCUCCACUUCUCUACUCUCUUUCCCUCUCUGCCUUUCUCUGCCUCUACUACUCUCUUAACUCCCUUCCCCAUGCCCUGAAAAAACUCUGUUCUAUACGAUAGACAGGGGGUGCCUUGGCAUGGGUCUGCUGAGAUACCCCCUUUCCCCAUACAUCACCACACAUCCAUAGGACAUAUUUCCUCUCUCUUUAUCUUUCUAUAAACACAUCAGGAUUGUAGCAGAUAAAGUUGCUACAGGGAGAGGAAAAGCUAAGAUGAGAGCAGGGAGUUUUCCUGAUGUCUCCAGCGGAACAUGAAAGCUGAAGUUCCUCUGUAGGACAGGGUCUACCCACCAUGCCCACAGAACACCUGACUGCCCAUCACACCAGCUCCCCUAAGGGCUUCCUCUUCAAGCCUGUGACCCUCCUCCACCCACUGAGGCUGACCUUUCCAGGACAGCCAUGACAACCAUUCUCUCUGGAGCAGGUCCCCUGUGGUGAGGGACAUCAGUUUCUACCCACACCUCAUUGAGUAGUUGAAUCCCUUUACAAAGAAUGGCCUUGGGUCCAGGGGGUGGGGGAGAGGUACCUAAUUUUCUUUACUAUAAACACCAGUACCAGCUAGCUAUGGGAAUGGGGGAUCCCCUUAGGAGCACCCUGCUACCUGACUUUGCUUUCAUCUGCCAUAAUUGGUAAGUGUCCAUCUCAGGUUCAAUAGAAUUUAAACACACACAGGAAAGUAUAUUUAAUCAAAUAGCAUAUCAUCUCAUUCCUCCUGCAGGCCUUACAUGGCAGCAGCUUUGACCCUUAUUUCCUGAUUUGCUGGAGGGUCUGCUGGGACAAUGAAGGGCACCCUGCUGUGGCAGCAGUCCUGUGACUUUGCUGGAAGGACACCUGCCUCAGUCCUAGCUUGUCAUGUAUUUCUGGCUCCGGAGAUGGCAUAUAGUUGCUCUCCCUCUCCUCAAGCCCCCACCCCCCUUUGUUACACACAAGUCACGUGGGGGGGGGGAAGAAAGUUCAUUCAGUAAGGGAUAGUGUGACAAUUAGGCAAUUAGCUACCCUCUUGCCUUACACCUAAUUCUUCAAUCCUAUAAUAGGUUGUAAAUGAGUUAAGGAUUUGAAUGGUAAAAGAAAGACAGGAACAAGGCUGGGUCUGUGGUAAAUGACAGCUAUCCCAGCACUUGGAAGGUAGAGAGUUGUGGAUUGGUUCACAAUGCUAUUUGAGUUCAUUCGGCUCCCAAACCUCAAGAAUUUGCAUGUGAACCUCUGAUGGUCCCUGCCCCCAGCUCAUUCUGAUUGGUAAAUAAAGUUGCUGGUGGCCAAUGGUUGGGCAGAGAAACAGAGGCGGCACUUUAGAUUUGGGGGUUGGGGGAGGGAGUUGUAAAAUCGCCAGCCAGGAAAGGCAUAGGAUGUAAGCAUGAGAGCUGCCAGGACAGAGAACCAGCCAUGUAAGAAUCAGGGACUUGCAGCCCCAGGGGCCACUCCCCGACUGGAUCUGGGGUAGCAGAGAUGAGAUAUAAAUUUUAGGAAGUAAUAACUCAGAAAUAUCAGAGGGGAGAGUGUGUUAGCCUCAGGGAAGUGUGGGAGUGGCCCAGCCGUUGAGCUGUUAAGGCAUAUUAAAAAUAAGGGUGUGUGUGUGUGUGUGUGUGUCUUUCAUUUAUGAAUCCAAAACAUUUGGUGGGUGUAGAGGAAGCACACACACCAACCGGGGAGUUUAGAGUGAAUUAACAUUCAACUGCUUCAGUGGACACAAAAGGAUUGGGAGUUCAGUUCUAGUCAGCCUUGGCUUCUCCGGGGCAGCAGGACUGAUGACCAAGACACUGCAGAGGCUCCUCCAGUUUGUAUUCUUUUUUAUUUUUUUAAAGACUUAUUUAUUUAUUUUAUGUAUAUGGGUACACUGUUGCUGUCUUCAGACACACCAGAAGAGGGCAUCAGAUCCCAUUACAGAUGGUUGUGAGACACCAUGUGGUUGCUGGGAAUUGAACUCAGAACCUCUGGAAGAGCAGUCAGUGCUCUUAACCGCUGAGCCACCUCUCCAGCCCCUCCAUCUUGUUUUCUUGCUGAGGUCAUUUCAGAUUUUACUAGGCCCUUAUCUCCUUGAUGGAGAAUCCCAUGGAAAAUUACCCAACUCUAUUCUAGGAACUAAAGGUCAGGAUGUCCUAGCUAACUUAGCUCCUUUAAACUGCUUAUUUCUGCUAAGCCCCCCUGCAGCUGCCAACUGAGUGAGAUAUCAGGACACAAUUUCUGCUUUAAAAACAAAACAAAACAAAACAAAAAGCAGGGCUUGAACAUUCGAG